GAUGAACGCUAGCGGCAGGCUUAAUACAUGCAAGUCGUGGGGCAGCAGGACUGUAGCAAUCCAGUUGCUGGCGACCGGCAAACGGGUGCGGAACACGUACGCAGCUUACCCUGAACUGGGGGAUAGCCCGGGGAAACCCGGAUUAAUACCCCGUAAUAUAAUGGAGUGGCAUCACUUUAUUAUUAAAGCUCCGGCGGUUCGGGAUGGGCGUGCGGCUGAUUAGGUAGUUGGUUGAGGUAACGGCUCACCAAGCCUACGAUCAGUAACUGGUGUGAGAGCACGACCAGUCACACGGGCACUGAGACACGGGCCCGACUCCUACGGGAGGCAGCAGUAAGGAAUAUUGGGCAAUGGAGGCAACUCUGACCCAGCCAUGCCGCGUGGAGGAUGAAGGCCCUCUGGGUUGUAAACUUCUUUUAUAGGGGACGAAACCUAUGUUUUCUUACGCAGUUGACGGUACCCUAGGAAUAAGCACCGGCUAACUCCGUG
rnacentral:rRNA from 1 species